rnacentral:tRNA from 1 species
GCCGAGGUAGCCAAGCCCGGACCACGGCGCCGGUCUUGAAAACCGGUGUGUUCGCACCCACGAGUUCAAAAAAUGUCACAAUUUGUGAUAUCGAGCAUAUCUCGUCCUCGGCGCCA